UACGGAGGGUGCAAGCGUUGUUCGGAUUUAUUGGGCGUAAAGCGCGUGUAGGCGGUUUCUUAAGUCUGAUGUGAAAGCCCUGGGCUCAACCCAGGAAGUGCAUUGGAUACUGGAAAACUUGAAUACGGGAGAGGGUAGUGGAAUUCCUAGUGUAGGAGUGAAAUCCGUAGAUAUUAGGAGGAACACCGGUGGCGAAGGCGGCUACCUGGACCGAUAUUGACGCUGAGACGCGAAAGCGUGGGGAGCAAACAGG
rnacentral:rRNA from 1 species